rnacentral:lncRNA from 1 species
GGUGUUUCUAGGCUUGAGGAAAGGCAACUGACAAAAGACAAGUUCUGACAGCCAGGAAAAUGCUAGGCAGAGGAAGAGAUCCAGGGGAGGGAAAGGAAGGGCAGGAAAAGAAAGAAAAAGGAAAUGUUUGAUCUUCCUUCUGAAUCAACAAGGUGAGGACCUGGACAGAAGCUUUCGCAGGACCCUGACACACCCACUACAGUGCCUCUGGAUUCUCCGGGGUUUCCCCUCCGAAGUUCUCUGCACAUAAAUAUGUCAUUGCCUCAUCAGCCCUAAGAAAAGAAAUGUGGAAAACAUUCAC